CACCGAAUUUUCAGCGUCUGAUACUCCAUACACUCCGUGGAUUCAAAUACUUGCUUGAAUGUAUUCAUUAUUAUUAUUGCUGUUGUUGUUAUUUUUAGGCCUAUUAUUAUUAAUAUUAUCAUUAUUAUUGUAUUUAUUUUUUCUACUUAUACUUUGUUGUCACCUUAAUUUUGUUUCUGAAAUAUGUCAUCGCUGUGCAUUGCGGCUCAAAUCAAAUGUAAAGCCGAACUUCUCUCCCAGUUACGUCCCCAAAGUCUGAGAUCACUCCUGUCGAGAGUUAUCUGGCGUCUCCAUUGCCAGAAUAUUUGCUCUCGAUAAUACGAAUGCAAAAGUCACCCAAACAAAACCCAAAACACAGUGGUCCAUUCGGAAGAGAGAGCAUCUCGUUAGUUUGCUAUUCACUUAAAUCCAAACAAUGUUGAAAUGACCCCACCCUGUUUGCAAUAAUAUAGAAGCUGUGCACCCUGUUGGACGCAUUUAUAAUUCUGAAAAGGUUUAUUAUUAUAUUAAUUAUUUAAUAAAUUAAAUAUCAGCCCUAUUGACCGUGUGUGUGCGUGUGUGUGUGUGCGUGUGUGUGCGUGUGUGUGCGUGUGUGUGUGUGUGUGUGUGUGUGUGUGUGUGUGUGUGUGUGUGUGAACACGUCACCGUGCCCAAAGACAACAAGGUUUCACCCGACCUCUUAGCUUUAUUUUUUCCCUCUCUUCCUCUUACACACACUAUUUCUUUCGCUCUCUGUCUUUCACACACACACACACACACACAACCACACACAGUAUUUUGGAAUUAUGACACCUCGAUGAAAUAUGACACACCUACGCAUGCCCAGGAAACAUGUAGACACGUUGGGUGAUAAAGUUUGUUUAUGCCAUGCAGAUAUAGUCUCAGCAACGUGAUCUGUGUCACUACAAUCAAGAUGUUAUAUUGUGCCACUCACCAACAGAAUACAGACCUGUUCCUGGUCCUAUAAGUGAGAGUUAGAAAAUACAAACGCCCCUACUAUGUGCUACAGUAUUUGGAAAAGGUUCUCGAGUUCCUUAGUGACGACAACUAAUUCCUUCUGGUCAGACUAACGUUAAUUCCGACUCAACCGUAUCUGUUCCCUCACACAUUAUUCAAUUAUAACAGAAGGGCAUUACCUUUCGAUUAUGUGGCUAUAGAGAUGAGAUCAAUUAAAGUAUAACAAAAACAGGCAGAACUCCCUAAAUGACGUGGAGACCAAAUGAGGCCCUCCAGAAAUUGGUUGGCAGCAAUAUUAAGAAACUCCAUCAGCACGCCAGCUGAAAGAAUUGGUGACGUUGACUAAACAACACCUGGAAAAGUUGUCCAUACAUGAAGAAAAUGAUAACGACGCCUUGGCAAAACCUUCUAAAUUGUUGUUGUUUUUUUUUUUUGCUGAUGAAAUCAAGAAAGUGUUACUUGACGUAAUACAUUUGAUGCUCGGACGAAAGUGUCGAGGCGGGCACCGGAGAAAUAAGGUAGAUUUACAGGUGGAAUUUUGAAUUUGCUUGACGUUUAUUGACCCAUUGUUAGGAAUAAUUUUACUGUGUAAAUGCAUUUAAAUUAACUUAUAGCGAAAUUUUGACAUUGCUUUUAGUGUCGUAGACUAAGAAUUGUAUUCUCUUGUUGGGUAUAGCCUAUAUAAAAACCCAAUCAUAAAACUCAUGAAACGUGUUUCUGUGUCCAUUGAAUGGCAUGAUGUACCUAAAAAUGGCUUUUCCAUCCAUAGGCUACUCUUUAUUUUCCCAUUUAGUUCGACCCUUUCCCGCCAAAACAGGUCUAUUAAGGACCCGUUAAGCUCACAAAAGAAGCCACUGUGAUUCAUGUAAAACUUUGUGUUCUUGUGUUUGUACAAAGUCAAGGGCGAACAAACCUGAGGGAUCCAUCGCCUAACGGACGGAAGUCGAAACGAAUGACUGAAGUUGUCGGUCCAUCUUGACCGUGACGUCACUGCCUUUAAAAUCUUCAGAUGACAGGACUUCAAGGCAAAAGAGAGAGAUGAGGGGCUCAACUGAGUCCUCAAGGAUUGAGCCAGACAUUUAAAAGGAAUCGAAACUGGCAGAAAGGAAAAGGAUGCGAUGAGUCGACCAACACAAGAGCAUUAAAAAGGCCUCUUCUGAUCCAGGACAUUCACAUGAGUGAGGAAAUAAUAAGAAGGAUCAAAAUCUGGGAAACGAGUAUCUUGAAGGUGCACAAGAUCAAGGUCAUAUCGGCACCUUUAAUUCUGCUUUACACCUAUUCAUGGAUAUUCAGCUAUUUGAUUACAUUGUAGGAGCACAAUAACACCUUCAGGUAUUUAAAAUCUCUCUUUGUUAAGGACUUUGGGUAUCUUGUAUUGGCCAGAUAUUGCUAACAUUGUCAAUUCCAGAUGUAUUACAUUUUCUGUUGUGAAAAAUGUAGAGCUAAGGCAUUUUUUCUUAGGAACAGAAAAGUGAUAACGUAGUUUUUAAGGUAAAAUAAAUAAAUAAAAGUAAAAUUGUGAACAUUGAAUUGUGUUGAACAGAGGAUCAAGUGAUCGCUUAUGUUGGUUUGAUGAGUUGAAAUUUGAAAGUCAUGGUAGGAAAAGUAGUCUGAUUUAAACAAAUUUUCUUUUCAGUAUUACUUGUACCUUUGUAAUUAAUACUCUGUGUGUAAGUCUUAAAAUGUUUUGUUGUGCGCAUGUUAUGAACUGCUCAUGAGUACAGAGUGGGAAAGGAACCGUCUGCUUCUUUAGAAAUGUAAUUAGGGACACACCACAAAUGACAUUUUUAACCUUGUGGAGCUUUAUAAUUGUAAGGAUGGCACAUUUCUGGAAUCUUAAAGAGUUUGCUAAAAGUUGUUUGAAGGCUGUUGUAGCAAGCUGAAGAUGGCAGACAUAGAUUAUGUCGCUGUCCACUGUGUGUGGGGUGCUGAAAUGUGCACAAAAAAAAGCUUAUAACAACUUCUAUUGAACAAAGCUGAUCUAUACAUUCUCUCAAUGUAUAUGUAUGGUGUACUCUAUAAGUAUAAUAAAGUUUGAAUUAGCUAAGUGUUCAAGUACGAUGUUAAGCUGUGGUCUUACAAAAAUAAUGACAUGGUAUUAAAAUAACUGGGUGGUUAUUUAAAUUAUCAUAGGGUCAUAGUGGGCUGAGUAAUGCAGAGAAAGGGGGAAGCCAUUUUUUUUAUAUGAAACAAUAAAGAUCGGAGGUGUCAAGCUCGUUUUAAGAGAUUGUCUGAGAAAAGUCAGUCAGUGUCGAGGAUGUUAAACAGGAAUAUAUAAUAGGACGAGUGUGUUAAAAGUGAGAGUGACACAGAAGGUGUAUUUAUUUGUGAAUAAGAAAGAGUGUGUGUCUGUGAAGGAAAUAAUGUUGAAAAUUGUAUGUAUUAUGAUUUGUUAGCACAAAGAUAGUACAAUUAAAUAUAAUUUCAUCAAAGUAUUAUAAUUGCAUAAUAUAGCCUACUGUGGUUUAAACAUUGUUAUUUGUAGCGCUCUGUAUAUAUCGGAUAAAUUUAACUCCAUGUGUUUUUUUUAUUUUUAUGACAUACUCUUUUUUUUUCUGCUUUGAUGUUUUUGUACUUCAUGAUAUACUAAAUAAAAUUAGGUGUAAUAAUUUGUGGUGUACUGAGCAAAUUAAAUCAGGGCUGAUUUAAAUCAUGCAGUGUGUAUGACAUACUGUGAGAAUGUUCUGCACUUUUAUGUAGUUCUGUGUAUUUUCUGUAUUGUGCAAGGCAGGGGCACCAAGAAAAAAAUAUACUGAAUUAACUGUUUAAAUCUGACAAAUUGUCUCGUUAUUCAAAACAUGAAAUAUGUAACUAUAUGAUAUCUGUGGCAAAGUGAAUGUACAUUGCAAAAUCUGAAUGCUGGAAGUUUGUUGUUCUUGUGUUUUCUUGACUGAACUCUGAACUCUUUCUUUCUUUCCUGACCUAUGUUAGUGCAAAUAAAAUG